rnacentral:rRNA from 1 species
GGACUACCCGGGUUUCUAAUCCUGUUUGCUCCCCACGCUUUCGAGCCUCAGCGUCAGUAAAAGCCCAGCAAGCCGCCUUCGCCACUGGUGUUCCUCCUUAUAUCUACGCAUUUCACCGCUACACAAGGAAUUCCGCUUGCCCCUACUUUACUCAAGAACUCCGGUUUCAAAUGCAGGUCGCAAGUUGAGCCUGCGAAUUUCACAUCUGACCUAAAGUCCCGCCUACACUCCCUUUACACCCAGUAAUUCCGGACAACGCUUGCCACCUACGUAUUACCGCGGCUGCUGGCAC